UCCGGUGGUUAUAGCGUGAGGGAAACGCCCGGUCACAUUCCGAACCCGGAAGCUAAGCCUCACAGCGCCGAUGGUACUGCAAGGGGGACCUUGUGGGAGAGUAGGACCGGCUGCGC
rnacentral:rRNA from 1 species